AAAGUGGAUUUGUAAGCAGCGUUCUUCUGCCCGUCCGUGUCUUAACCCACUUGGAGCCAUUCACCUUGGGAGCAGGUUGCGGGUGGUCACUAGAGACCUCCAUCUCGCUCACUUCCUCUCAAUGGCCUUUUGCCCAGACUUAAGGUACCUUCUUCCAGGAUUCCCCUCCCCCAUCCCAACACAAACGGCGAUGGACGUGACAGCUGUUUCGUGAAGCCUGCUGGUCAUCCCGGAGGGGGCAAUCCUGUCCCCUCUGGGCGUUCAGAAUCCUACUUUAGGAUCCUUCCACUCCGCAGUGCUGAAAGUCAGCGAACAGUUCUGGUUCGGGGCUUCGGGGACACGUGACCCGCGGGCAAAGUCCGGGAACCGUCGGUGGGUGACGCUAGGCGCGACUCAGCCGUUCCGCAGCCCGGCGCCUUCUGACGCCUUCUGACAAACCUGGCCGCGAGUGCGGAGCGCGGCGGCCAAAUGACCCUGGACCCAGGUCCGGUCCGACCCCCGUGAGCAAGUGUCAGCCUGAGGAUGCACUCUGCCCUGGCGGGGCUGGAGGUCGACCUUUUGCACAGGAGAGGCUGACUUGAGAGCACAGACACGUCCCCAGUUACUACUCGCCGCCGGUCAACCCCGAAGCAGGCGCGCAGGGAAAAGGCUUCUAAUGUGAGGAAAAACACGGAAUGACAAGUGUGGGAAAGAGCAAGCACUAAAUUACUGUCAGAAAAAUAAACGGAGUAGCACAGUGGUGCUCAGUGAUUUACGGGGGCAAUUAGUCACCACCCCACGGCGCUGCUGAGGACAGCACGGCAGCAGACGCGUCAGGCCUGAGAGGAAGAAGAGGCUUUGCACUGCUCUCCAGACAACUUUUCAAACAAGAGAGGAUAUUUGAGUACAUUAGGUUCCAUGUCUUCAUUCUGGGUGCCCACCCUUCACAUUAUCCAGCCAACCUAAUACAUAAACAUAUUUUUAACACAAUAUUAACCUGUUCUGUGUGUGUUAAAAAGACUCCCAACUGCAGCUUUUUUCUCUCCCACUGUCUAAAGUAGGUUUUCCCCAUUCCUUAAAUGAAACAAACAAAUAAAAAAACCUUUCCCUGCUCCCAAAUUGUCCUCCUGAUGUGUGCCUUCAGUCUGUCUCAUUUCUUCUUGCAUCUUGCUAUCAUGUUCUAUAUUUGCUUUGAGCCACUGGGUGCUAAGGAAUUUGGUCUCUAGCUCUUCUGGGGAAGUUUGGUAAGCUGGCACAAAGAGGUGAUGAAUGAGGCUGCAAAACUCAGGGUAAAUGAGAAAGAUAUAUAAACUUCCUGAUAUUUGUUACCAUGUUCUUUAACAUACUAUAUUCGCUGCCUAUGUAUAUGCAUAUAGCAAAAUAAACCUGCUAAGAUAUGA